GAUUUGUUGAGCUUUUUUGUACGCCAAUCUACAAAUUCAAAGGAUUCAACUAAUCAGGCAUCUUUAAUGUCUGGAAUCUGGAUCAUCUUCUAAUUGCUAGCACUUGCAAGGUGUUUUAUUCCAGAAGACAACAGGUCAAGAUCAAGUGAACAGAUACAUUUAAGAUCAGAACUUGCUUGACCAUUACAACAACUUCAACUCUUCAAGAUAUUAACAAUCUAAAUAUGUCAAAAUAUUAACAAUCUAAAUAUGACUUGUGAGAGAAAACAUAUCUUAAAACUAUUUAUCAGUUUGGGCCUAAGCCCAUGCUUUCUAAUAUGGACCUAAAGUCAAACUAUGAUAUGAGUUUCAUUAUGGUUGUGUUUAUUUUGAGUGUGCAGGAUUGGUUACAGCCAUUAGCAAGAUCUCAUAUGUUGAAGCAAAGGGGUUCAUUACAGUAACAAAGGUUUCUUAGCCUCAUCUUAUUGUUGUUUUUUUUUUAUAUUUAUUAAAAAUUUUUGCUUUUUUAAUACCGGAGAAUAGUUUUUCUUGAUCUCAUUAUGGGCUUUCUUUUUAUAUAAUUUACAUACAAUUUUUCUGAUAUGUUUUGUGUUUGAAUAAAAGAUUAUGUUGUUGUA